ACCAUCGUCGAGGAAGCAGGCGCUCGAUACAUAACCAACUCAGGGAUGAUGAUGCAGCUCAAGAUGCUCUCAGAGGCCAUGUACAGAGGGCACCGUCUGCUUGAUACCUGGAGGUCCCGAGCCCUCCAAGACGAUGCAGGCUUUGAUGAGGUUAGCAGCAAUAACUCAUCUAGCAGCAGUUUGUAUUUAGCCAUUCCACUCAAACGUUCUCGAACAACAAUGGUGAACGACGAUGGUGCUUUGGAAAGCUUAGAAAUUGUUGUUGCUAACAUGUCAGAAUUUGUUGUGCUUUUGAGCGAAUGUGAGCGCAUGUCUCGCAGGCCAUAUGACGUUUACCUUUACACCGACAACUUCAUGUUUAGCCGACACGCUGAAAAGCAAAAGCUCUUGAGCUUCUUGUUGGAGCACAACGAUCCUUCAGGUGAUCAUGCAUGGGGCGUCCUCCCGCUCAUAGGUGGUGUCGCAGUUGGGAAGAAAACCUUGGUUGCUCAUGUGUGUGGCGAUGAAAGGGUUCGCUCACGUUUCUCCUUUAUUUUGCACUUGAUUGGAGACAGCCUUUUGGGAAUACUUGAUGAUGGAAGGACAAUGUUUGGGAUGAUGUUGGUAGUUAUUGAGUUUUCUUCUGAUGUAGAUGAUGAUGACUGGAAAAAAGGAAGCAAGAUCAUCAUCGUAAGCAAACUUAAGAGAUUAGCCCGGUUGGGAACGGUGAAACCGAUCUUCCUAAGUGUGCUAUCUUACGACGAGUUGAGAUACCUUUUCAAGGCACUAUCCUUCGGGAGUGUAGAGCCCGCAGAACAUCCUCGGCUAGUACAAAUGGCAGAUUAAUUUGCCAAGGAGUUGCACAAUGCACAUGGUUCACUUCUUGCAACAAAUGCGUACGCGAAUGUCUUGAGAAGGAAUCUCGAUGUUCAGUUUUGGCGGCGCAUAAUGGACAAGGGGAUGAGAGUGGUCAAGAGGAACCUCUCCAUGUAUGGCGUGCAUCCCAACACGCUUAUACAACAAGGCCAUCCAAUGGACAUAACAAACUUCGGUUUGCAUCCACUUAGCAUGACACCUUACACAGUUGGUGCUUCAGUGAAGAAGGAACUGCCAUGUGUGACAUUUGCAGAACUUGUAACAGAUCCUAGUGCUGUCCCAAAAGGAGACUUCACUCUAGUUGCAUGGGAAUCCAGGAUACCCCCUCAGAAAUCAUUUGUUUAUAUUGUUACAAGUCGUGCUCAGGAUACACAUCAGGGCAGCGCCUUGCCAGGGAGGAAGCGACAAGGAGUGCCAAUCUAG
rnacentral:rRNA from 1 species